rnacentral:rRNA from 1 species
CCUACGGGAGGCAGCAGUGAGGAAUAUUGGUCAAUGGGCGAGAGUCUGAACCAGCCAAGUAGCGUGAAGGAUGACUGCCCUAUGGGUUGUAAACUUCUUUUAUAAGGGAAUAAAACGAGGCACGUGUCCCUUUUUGCAUGUACUUUAUGAAUAAGGAUCGGCUAACUCCGUGCCAGCAGCCGCGGUAAUACGGAGGAUCCGAGCGUUAUCCGGAUUUAUUGGGUUUAAAGGGAGCGUAGGUGGGUUGUUAAGUCAGGUGUGAAAGUUUGCGGCUCAACCGUAAAAUUGCAAUUGAUACUGGCAGUCUUGAGUAUAUUUGAGGGAGGCGGAAUGCGUGGUGUAGCGGUGAAAUGCUUAGAUAUCACGAAGAACCCCGAUUGCGAAGGCAGCCUACUAAACUGUGACUGACACUGAUGCUCGAAAGCGUGGGUAUCAAACAGGAUUAGAUACCCGAGUAGUC